GUACUCGCUUCGGCGGUACAUAUACUAAAAUUGGAACGAUACAGAGAAGAGUAGCAUGGCCCCUGCGCAAGGAUGACACGCAAAAUCGUGAAGCGUUCCACAUUUUU
rnacentral:snRNA from 1 species